GUCGGUACGGCAGUAGACCUCCAGGGGUUUGUCAUGGUGGGAACAGACCUUGUCCUUCAGAUGGCCGGUGGCAUCAAUGAGCUUGUGCUGUUUUGCAUGGUGGAGUUUAUUGUGAAGCUGCAGGUCAGUUUCACAGAAGGAGGCCAGACACACCAGGCAGGACUUGACAGCUUUGUGUUUUCUCCCAGCACAGACGUCACACUCCACAUCUCCAGGUCCAGCAUACUGGUCAGCAGGAGUAGCUGCUUGUAGUCCAGUCUUCUUCAGUUUCUCCACCACUUCAGCCAGUAUGGUGUUUCUGUUCAGAACAGGUCUGGGUGUGAAGGUCUGUCUGCACUGGGGGCAGCUGUAAACUCCAGUAUGAUCCUCCUGAUCCCAGCAGCUCUUAAUGCAGCUCAUACAGUAACUGUGUCCACAGGG